CUUUAAAUGAUUAAGUGAACAUGAUAAUAUACAGAAUAGGUUUCUCCAUCUUUAAUACAUUUGUCCAAAAGCAAAAAUAGAAUCAAAUAAGGCUUCAGAUUUGUUAUACACAUGAAAUAUAAAAAUGAAUUUAAUGCUAAUAAAUGUCCUGGUCAACACCAAACAACUAUUGUAUACUGAACUGAUUAUAAAUUGUUGAUGUGAAAAUAAUAAAUGUAUAGAUAAAAACAACAACAAACAAUUAAAUCAUUUAGGAAAUAAAUGUAAAAGGAAUAUUCAUAUCUUAAUUAUUUAGUACAUAAACAUAUCAUUGGAUGCCAAUUUAUUAACAUUUGAUAUAAGCGUAAUUUAAUCUCAUUCAGGAAAAAACAUAGGCUAUGAGCUAUUCAGAAAAAUGUUACACAGCAUCAAAAUUCAGCUUCAUUUGCAUACUAUGUGCACAUCAUUUACAUUUAAUCGUUUAGCAGAUGCUUUUAUCCACAGCGACUUACAAAUGAGGACAAUAGAAACAAUCAAACCAACAAAAGCAUGUUGUCUAAUUAUUGUGGCUGUUCCUGAUUCAGAUGAGUGCACAAUCUAAAAUCAGACAAGAACCAGAUUAAUAUUUCAAUCUAACGAUUAUUGAACUGUUCCUGAAGUUCUUCAAAAACCUUUCUGCAUUCUCUUGCUUGUCUGAUAGCUUCGACUACUUCUAUUCCGUCUCCUCCAUCCAUGCUGAAUGGAUUUUUUUUACUUAGCUCUUCAAAUUUCGCAUCAUCAUCACAAUUAUACAAGUCCCUGAUGAACUUUAAGUUUAAAUGAUAUACUCCUGGCUGCACAUUGGGGUCAUUUGGUAAAUCCACCCCUUUAUAUGUUUCCUUAAAUUCGAUCGCCCCAUUACAGUAUACACCAAUUGCCAAAGUCCUGUCAUUCAGAGUUGACUGUCUGAUCUUUAGGUCUUUUAGCUCUGGCUCUUUCUCAUAUUUCUGAAAUCUUUCUGGUGCAACGAUGAUGAUGGGCUUACUGACGGGAAACACAGCUUUAAAAUUGGCACGUGUCUUGACCUGCCUGAUCAGAACGCAUGACUCCAUUGUGUAAUCGCCUUUGCUCCUUCCUUUCUUGAUGAAACUCUCCUCUAUGGUGUCCUUUUCCUCAUCCACUAGAACGCAGAAGUUGGGUUCUGGGUAAUACACGAAGAGACCAUUGACCUCUGCUAAGGCUGCACGAAUCUGGAGGUCCAGGUCACUUGCAAGGUGCUGUUUUUUCUCGUGGGUGAGCUCAUAACCAGUCGACAUGAGGGUGGGUGGGAUGGGUGGAUCUUUUUUAGCUCCUUUCUCACUAUUUCUAAGUAUUCACUGUAGAUGGAGUUGAAGCUGAAAGUGUCGCUAUCAAUGAAACUGAAGUAAACCAGACUUCUAUCGUUUCCCCUCAACUCCCGCACAAGAUUUGUUGUAGCAGCAUGGCUUUUCAGAUACUCUCGAAUAUCCUGGUAUGGUAUGAUAUUUUUAGGCUUUUUAGAUUUUUUUUGUAGUUUUUGAAUUUCUUCAUCAGUCAAUUCAGUUGCUAUUGUUCCACCGCUUCCCCAAGUGUACGUGAUUAUAGAAUACCUGAUUUUACAAUCGUACGUGUAGCCCUCGAGUUUGUUCAGUUCUUUAACUAGGUCUUGGCUGAAAGUGUCGCUAUCAAUGAAACUGAAGUAAACCAGACUUCUAUCGUUUCCCCUCAACUCCCGCACAAGAUUUGUUGUAGCAGCAUGGCUUUUCAGAUACUCUCGAAUAUCCUGGUAUGGUAUGAUAUUUUUAGGCUUUUUAGAUUUUUUUUGUAGUUUUUGAAUUUCUUCAUCAGUCAAUUCAGUUGCUAUUUUUCCACCGCUUCCCCAAGUGUAAGUGAUUAUAGAAUACCUGAUUUUACAAUCGUACGUGUAGCCCUCCAGUUUGUUCAGUUCUUUAACUAGGUCUUGGGUGUGUUUUCCGUUCAUGCCAAAAAUCACGGCUACAUCUUCCAGCACCUCUCUGCCAUUUCUAUCCCUCGUAAAUUUCCUAUCCUCUUCUUUAAAGCCUUCAAUUAGAGCAUCGAGUAGAUAACGACACCUUUUCUUUGCCUCAUCCUCUGAAUCCACCUUCAAAGGUAUAUUGAUCAAAAACUUGACCUUUAAGCCCUGAUGAAGAGACAGAACAGAUUUUUGUGACUGAAAGUACAGUAUAGAAAGAGCAGGAGUCAAGUUACUGUACUCCUCCAAUAGUAAAACUCUUAAUACCACACUGCUGCUGAUUCUG
ensembl:lncRNA